GACGGAGGAUGCAAGUGUUAUCCGGAGUCACUGGGCGUAAAGCGCACGUAGGCGGAUGUGUCAGUGCAGGGGUGAAAUCCCGGACUCAACUUCGGAACUGCCUCUGAUACAGCACGUCUUGAGUCCGAUAGAGGUGGGUGGAAUUCCCAGUGUAGCGGUGAAAUGCGUAGAGAUUGGGAAGAACACCGGUGGCGAAAGCGCUCUGCUGGGCCAUAACUGACACUCAGGGACGAAAGCUAGGGGAGACGAAUGGGAUUAGGAAACCCUAAGUGAAUGUGACCC
rnacentral:rRNA from 1 species